CCUACGGGAGGCAGCAGUGAGGAAUAUUGGUCAAUGGGCGCGAGCCUGAACCAGCCAAGUAGCGUGAAGGAUGACUGCCCUACGGGUUGUAAACUUCUUUUCUCAGGGAAGAAGCAAGUGACGGUACCUGUGGCCUAAGCCACGGCUAACUACGUGCCAGCCGCCGCGGUAAUACGUAGGUGGCAAGCGUUAUCCGGAUUUACUGGGGGUAAAGGGCGUGGAGGCGGGAAAGCAAGUCAGAUGUGAAAACCAUGGGCUCAACCUGUGGCCUGCAUUUGAAACUGUUUGUCUUGAGUACUGGAGAGGCAGACGGAAUGCGUAGUGUAGCGGUGAAAUGCGUAGAUAUUAGGAGGAACACCAGUGGCGAAGGCGGUCUGCUGGACAGCAACUGACGCUGAGGCGCGAAAGCGUGGGGAGCAAACAGGAUUAGAUACCCUAGUAGUC
rnacentral:rRNA from 1 species